rnacentral:ncRNA from 2 species
CACCCCGGAGCGGGAGAGCACUGGAUCAGCCAGACCCAGUCGCCGAAGGAGCAAAUCCUCCCCGGAAACUCUCAGGCACCCCUACCGCUCGGGCAGG